UCCCUGGUAGCCUAGUGGUUAAGGGCUCGGCGUUGUCACUGCUGUAGCUUGGAUUACAGCUGUGGUUCAGGUUCAGUCCCUGCCUUGGGAA
rnacentral:tRNA from 1 species